GCCUGGCUGGCUCAGUCAGUAGAGCAUGUGACUCUUGAUCUCGGGGUUGUAAGUCAAGCCCUACGUUGGGUG
rnacentral:tRNA from 1 species